ACGAGGCGAUGUACAUGUGCCAUAGGCACAUUUAGGAUGUACAUCGCCGAAAUGCCGCUGAACGAAUGUGAAGGGGCGAUUCCGAUA
rnacentral:ncRNA from 12 species